rnacentral:rRNA from 1 species
AGUGCGUACUAGGUUCUUCGGCUUUUCGUCGGUUUUCUUGUUGUGGCCUUUACUGGUGGCGGCAAGUGGCUGACAAUUUUACUUUGAACAAAUCAGAGUGCUCAACACAGGCGUUUCGCUUGUAUGUUUUUGCAUGGAAUAAUAGAAUAUGACUUCGGUCUAGUUUUAUUGGUUUUAUUGAUCGUUGUAAUGAUUAAAAGAGACAAACGGGGGCAUUCGUAUUGUUGCGUGAGAGGUGAAAUUCUUGGACCGCAGCAAGACGACCUACAGCGAAAGCAUUUGCCAAGCUUGUCUUCAUUAAUCAAGAACGAAAGUCAGAGGAUCGAAGGUGAUCAGAUACCGCCCUAGUUCUGACCGUAAACGAUGCCAACUAGCGAUUCGCCGGUGGAAUAUUUGCCCUGGCGAGGAGCUUCCCGGAAACGAAAGUCUUCCGGUUCCGGGGGAAGUAUGGUUGCAAAGCUGAAACUUAAAGGAAUUGACGGAAGGGCACCACCAGGAGUGGAGCCUGCGGCUUAAUUUGACUCAACACGGGAAAACUCACCCGGCCCGGACACUAUAAGGAUUGACAGAUUGAUAGCUCUUUCAUGAUUUGGUGGAUGGUGGUGCAUGGCCGUUCUUAGUUCGUGGAGUGAUUUGUCUGGUUUAUUCCGAUAACGAGCGAGACUCUAGCCUACUAAAUAGUUCGCUCAUUGUUUUGUGUAGCGAUACUUCCUAGAGGAAUUUUCGG